CUGGAAUAUCUGCAGGAUUAUAGUAGAUGGCUUUGAUGUCACGUUCAAACAGAAGUUCUGUGUUUGCCAGUUGGCUGACGAUGUCCACCUUUCAAAUCGCAGCAGAAUCCGCAGAGCAUGAAGAGGCAUAAACAGAGUGAGUCAGGAUAGACCUUGUCAGCAUACACCGCUGCCAGUGGAUCCAGACCCAGCAGCCCAGCACCCCCCCACCCCCUUUCCGUGCCCUAGUGUUCUGUGCAAGGCUGCUUUCAGUGCUGUGCCUGGAGUAGCUACAAUCAUCCUCACAGUGACAGCUGCUCAACCACUCUACCAUCAUUCAGCUCAGUGUGGAGGACUGUGCUUCUUGUUGUACGAAAUAGGUUUUCCAUAAACUAUUGGCAA